GACGAACGCUGGCGGCGUGCUUAACACAUGCAAGUCGAACGGAAAGGCCCUGCUUUUGUGGGGUGUUCGAGGGGGGAACGGGUGAGUAACACGGGAGUAACCCGCCCUUGUCUUUGGGAGAACUUCAGGAAACUGGGGCUAAUACCGGAUAGGAGUUCCUGCCGCAUGGUGGGGGGUGGAAAGCUUCGGCGGUUGGGGAUGGACUCGCGGCUUAUCAGCUUGUUGGUGGGGUAGUGGCUUACCAAGGCUUUGACGGGUAGCCGGCCUGGGAGGGUGACCGGCCUCAUUGGGACUGCGAUACGGCCCAGACUCCUACGGGAGGCAGCAGUGGGGGAUAUUGCACAAUGGGCGGAAGCCUGAUGCAGCAACGCCGCGUGCGGGAUGACGGCCUUCGGGUUGUAAACCGCUUUCGCCUGUGACGAAGCGUGAGUGACGGUAAUGGGUAAAGAAGCACCGGCUAACUACGUG
rnacentral:rRNA from 1 species